rnacentral:tRNA from 1 species
UAUUAGAAAGCGAAGUUAUCGCAUUUAGUUUCGACCUAAACCUUGACUCCCUAAGUCUCUAAUAA